AGAAAUGGAGAGAAAAGGCAAGACUUACUUGGCGACCAAAGGCUCAGCCGGACUCCAGUUCGGACUCGGCAGGUGUCUGUCAGCGCGGGCCCUGGCGGAAGGAGCGGGCGCAGCGCGGAGCAGGGACUCCACUUAGCGAGCACUGGAAACUCCCCUCGCCGCCCGGCCCCCGCGCGGCGCUCCUUGCUGUCACCGCUCCGAGAGACGCAGGCACGCUCCCCGCUGCCUCCUCGUCCCGCGCAAGGGAGCAUCCAUGUGGCAUACAGCUGUUGCACAUGCUGUGAUUGGAUGCUUUGUCCACUGAAGCUAGGCUGGAACAGGAUUGCCACUGGAGGAUGGUGAGAAAGAGGCUGUGUCCUCCUCAUGUCAGUUACAUCUUCAGAUGCUCAGCUGUCUAAUAGGAUCAGUAACAGCACAGCACAUUGCCAAGCCACAUGGAAGGAUGAAGCAAAAGAAAAUCUCAGUAAUAUUGAUUUUGUCUUUAUUUAAAAUGUUAAUAUGUUGUUCAUCAUAGAUUUACUGCAUUCAUUUUGAUUUAAUGAAAUAUUACAUUAUCAUUACCUUUAUUACUGAGUUUAUUUGAUGUCCACUUAAGUUUUUCACCUGAGGCAGCAAGGGCUUCACAUUCUUCAUUCUGAGUCAGGACCUGAACAAGACCUAAACAUUUUUCAUUUAUAUUCACUUAGGCAGUUGAGGUCUUGCCUUCGAUGUUUCUCUACAGCUUACUACAAAGAAAUGGUAGUUAAUGUAGGAAGAGGGCAACAUUCUCAUAGAGCUAGUUCCAGGAAGAUACCUAUGUGCCCCUGAUAGCAUUACAGAGUUUAGAAAUUUCUGCCUUCACUGCUUAUUUUACUUUUUCUCUUCUUCAGUUUGUUUCACUUCCAGUGAGUCAGAUCAUGGGCACUGGAACCAGAUGAAUAAGGAUUGAAAGCCCACUCAAGGAAUGAGUUAUUUUACCUGUCUGAGUCUCAAUGUUCUUAUUUAUUAAGUGAGGAUCAUUUUUAAGAUUCUUGCAUAAAGAAAUGAGUAUAGAAAGUCCAUCACAUACCUAGUCCACAGCAUGGACUUAAUAAAUGUCAUUCAUUUUUUCUACUCUAUUUCUACCUCCCAGUAUUCAACUUAAUUCUACAGAACUAAUCCAUUAGCUAGUACAUAGCAGAAACUGAAAAAACAAAUUGAAAUAUAUGUUUUAUUGCUAUAAUCCUAACUAUGUUACAGAGACCUACCUCAAUGCUAGAGUUCAUCCAUUGAGUUGGUUAUGUUUAAUAUUAGUUUAAUAUUUGAAAGAUAGCAAAAAAAGUUUGUUAGUUACUUAUAAUAGGUAGAGAAAAAUAAUCAGUAGGCUUCUUUAGAAACACUCUGAUUCCUGAUCUAAACCCCAAUCUUCA
rnacentral:lncRNA from 1 species